rnacentral:rRNA from 1 species
AUUGAACGCUGGCGGCAGGCCUAACACAUGCAAGUCGAGCGGUAGAGAGGUGCUUGCAUCUCUUGAGAGCGGCGGACGGGUGAGUAAUGCCUAGGAAUCUGCCUAGUGGUGGGGGAUAACGUUCGGAAACGGACGCUAAUACCGCAUACGUCCUACGGGAGAAAGCGGGGGAUCUUCGGACCUCGCGCCAUUAGAUGAGCCUAGGUCGGAUUAGCUAGUUGGUGAGGUAAUGGCUCACCAAGGCGACGAUCCGUAACUGGUCUGAGAGGAUGAUCAGCCACACUGGAACUGAGACACGGUCCAGACUCCUACGGGAGGCAGCAGUGGGGAAUAUUGGACAAUGGCGAAAGCCUGAUCCAGCCAUGCCGCGUGUGUGAAGAAGGUCUUCGGAUUGUAAAGCACUUUAAGUUGGAGGAAGGGCAGUAAGUUAAUACCUUGCUGUUUUUGACGUUUACCGAACAGAAUAAGACACCGGACUAACUUCG